rnacentral:snoRNA from 1 species
CUGCUGCUGCUGCUGCUGCUGCUGCUGCUGCUGCUGCAGAGGGAGCAGCUGCUGCAGCAGAGCUGGUGCUGCUGCUAGGACUAUCAGCUGCAGAGGCAGCAGCAGCAGCAGCAGCAGCAACACUA